GAUGAACGCUGACAGAAUGCUUAACACAUGCAAGUCAACUUGAACUUCGGUUUGGGUGGCGGACGGGUGAGUAACGCGUACAGAACUUGCCUCACAGAUAGGGACAACAUUUGGAAACGAAUGCUAAUACCUGAUAUUAUGAUUUUAGGGCAUCCUAGGAUUAUGAAAGCUAUAUGCGCUGUGAGAGAGCUUUGCGUCCCAUUAGCUAGUUGGAGAGGUAACGGCUCACCAAGGCGAUGAUGGGUAGCCGGCCUGAGAGGGUGAUCGGCCACAAGGGGACUGAGACACGGCCCUUACUCCUACGGGAGGAAGCAGUGGGGAAUAUUGGACAAUGGACCAAGAGUCUGAUCCAGCAAUUCUGUGUGCACGAUGAAGUUUUUCGGAAUGUAAAGUGCUUUCAGUUGGGAAGAAAAAAAUGACGGUACCAACAGAAGAAGUGACGGCUAAAUACGUG
rnacentral:rRNA from 1 species